CCCCCCGCCCGCCGACCCCCGGCUCCCCGCAGCCGCCUGCACCCCCAGUGCUGCCCCGAGAGCGCCUCGGCUCGUCCCACCUGCCGCAGCCGGGCUCCGCACCGCCGGGCUCCGCACCGCCGCCUCCAGCCACCACCCUCAUCCCAGACAAUGAGCUGUGGAGAAGAGCAGAACGGAUGACUUCCAUCUAAGACUGAACAGACGUGCUUCACUUGAACACUGCCCUCUCCAAAACCUGACAGCUGCUGAGGUCUUAAAUCCAUCAGGAAAGGAAAACUUGCCUCCUUUUUGCUCAACAUACACCAUUUGUCACCCUUUACCCUCUGCUCAGCCAGAUUGCGCAGCGGCACAUUCAGCCUCUGGACGCUUUGAUAAAGCGAUAAAGUCGGCGUUUGUUCUCUGUAGAGGGCUGAGAACCUGUGGAGUGCACGAUGGGGAAAAGGCCUUCUUAUAUGUAAGAUCAGAGAGAAAAUUGCCCAAAGGUGGGCAUUGGCUGCUCUCAUCAAAACACGCCUGGUCAUAGCAGGGGAAGAUGUUUCUCAAAAGAAAAAAGCACCAAAGCCAUAAUGGAGCAAGUCCCCUGACAUCUUUGCAGCCAGUCGUAUCAGUGAGAUCCAGUGCAUGUGUGCAGAAAAGUGUGCCAAGUCAGCGUUUUCAUCGCUUGUUGUCAGCUGCUGCCACAAAAACACUGCCUGUCUUCUUUAAUAAACUGGCAAAGCAGUGUUCAUGAAGGCGAGAGCAAAACUAAACCCAAAAGGGGCAGACUGUCUCGAUAACGUUUUAAAACCGUAUGGUCACAAUUGAGUGCCUUUCGAAACAACUUUUGGCAAGUCAGCGUAAAACUAAUUCUUCUGAUCAUGAUUUGAUUGCAUUUUACAUCUAUUUUCAGUUUUUGUUGAUGUUGCAGCUUUAUAGCCAUUAGGAACAAAUCACAUUAGCAUUACUUGUUUGGUUGUACUUGUCCAAAGCCACGUUCUCCUGACCUUUCCUGGGAGGGGUGGCAAGAGCUACCUGAAGGAUUCAGGUACACUGAAGGAUUCAGCGUCCAGACUCCCUGGCUUCCUCCUGGUGCUGUAAGGCUGGAGACAGAAGCGUACUUGCAGCAAACACAUCAAGAUAAAUAGGGCAGCAGGCAUUAUGUCUGGAAACGCUGCAAAAUAAAAAGAUAGGGGUACUUUUUCAGGGCCUAAGAAAAAAGGUUGGUUAUCUUGGCUGCACACUUUUCCUUUGUAAUUCUGCAGCAACUCGAGCAUUUGUGUCGCUUGACCUAUACAAAUAGGAAACAGCAGGAAGGAAAAAAAGUGUUGGCUGGUGUUUUUCCUCUCUUGGUUUUCCGUAAGAAUAAACUGUGAUGAGCAGUGCAGAACAGUUCCAUCACAGACUGAAGCUCCCCAGCCUUUAGACAGCAGACGUUGUAACCUGGUUUUACUGAGAGUGUGGAAGGGUGAAUGAUGACACCUUUGCAUCUGUGACCCCCAGUCCUUUCAUGAAAAGUACAAAACACUGCAAAGAAACCGAAGGCUCUGUACUCAUUGGUGUGUCUCAUGCUGGCUUGGGAUCCUUCAGAAUGGGUUGAGACAAGAAAGGAUGUGCCCAAGCAGAAAAGCAGCACAUUCCAACCAGUCUGUGGAUGAAUUCGGAUCCAGGGCUGCUGUUGGCGAGUGUCACCGGAGCCCAGCAGUCCCUGGGGACUCAGGAGUGGCAGCAAGAACUAGGAGACGAAUGGUUGGGGGAAAUACAUUAACAGAUACAUUUUUAGUUCUGGGCAUUCAUUUUGAUUCCUCACUUUGAACGACACUGAAAAUAGUUUAAUGUGUCCAGUCUGCAUGUCUGAGACAAACCACUCAAACUGUUCCCUAUUUACUAAGCCCAGCCACUGCUCUACCUUUUAAUUUUAGCACUGCAGUAAAACGGCACGUUAGUCAAAGCUUCUCUUGUUAUUUUGCAGGAGAAACACCAAGCUGAUUUAAAAAUUGGAGUUUUGUGAACUGAAAUCUCCGUGAUUGAUCCUGAAGCUCUUACCUCUGUGAUUAAGGCCUCAGAGGACGCGGUGAUCUGAACAAAAGCCAUACUCCAACUCAUUAGUUUGGCAAAGGCCAGGUCCCUUUUCUUUCUGGCAUCUUACCAGAAAUAGCUUGUAAAGUUCUAACUGAGCUGACCUGGCUGAGUCGCUGCCUGUAAAGGCUCUUCCCAGCUGAGCUGCCUUUGCACAUCUGACCUGUCGCUUCACACAAACAGCUGGGAUUUGAAUCACUUUACAGAUCCCGGCACUUAUUCAUCUCAUCUAAAUUUCUAAAUAAAGGCUUAAUUGGCAGUGAGUGAAUACUCUCACCUGCCAGAUUUGCAAGCGGACUCAUUAAACUGCGCUGAAAGUUUGGCAGUUAAAUUCAGCACUUUAAGAUGGCAAAUAGUGUUUUAUACUUGUAAAAAGAUAUUAAAACCAGCAUUUUCAUCAUAUUCCAAAACCAGAGCACAUUUUUUUUUUCUCUCUGAUUUGGUUAUUAGUUGAUUAAAAACAAAUUAGUGUAUGUGGUGCAAAAUAGACAAUGGAACUGUGAAGGUCAAUGGAACAGUGAUAUGCGGAGAAUAUAUAAUAGUGGGUUUUUUUCCCAGAGAAGACAAAGUGUUCACUAUGGGUAAAAAUGGUCAGGUCAUAAAACUUACAAAGGUUUUCUGUAGAAGGAUGUUUGAUUUUAUAGGUGUUUGAGAGUGUCUCAGCACGUCUCUCUUUUCUCUUCUGCCCUGUCAGUGUUUUAAAGCGGAUCUGAACUUAUGUCUGGAAGUACCAAGUGAUUGAACUUUCCCAUAGUAUUGCCUGUGCUUCUCAGUGUCUUGCAAGCUUAGAGAUGCUAUCUCACAGCAUUUUCUGUCAUCUGCAGUUAUUUUCAGCCAAAUAGCUCCAAAAUUACUAGCUCAUCCAUAUCUUCCAGACUUUCAGUUAAAUUUGACCUGGGAAAGCAAAGAGGGAAGGAGCAAAUAUUCAAGUGAUUGGUUUUCUCAGAGCUGUGACAUGGCCUAAGCAAGCCUGAAUGGCAGCGUGGUGUCCGAUGUUUCCUAUUAAAGGCUCCCCCUUAGGAGGGGCAUGGAGAUUAGCAACACGACUGGUGAAGGGACUUGAACAUAAGACCUAUGAGGAGAGGCUGAGGGAGCUGGGGUUGUUUAGUCUGGAGAAGAGGAGGCUUAGAGGUGACCUCAUCACUCUCUAGAACUACCUGAAGGAAAGUUAUAGCCAGGUGGGGAUUGGUCUCUUCUCCCAGGCAUCAGCAAUAGGACAAGGGGGCAUGGGCUUAAACUCUGCCAGGGGAAAUUUAGGCUGGAUAUUAGAAAGAAAUUCUUUACAGAGAGAGUGGUCAGGCAUUGGAAUGGCUGCCCAGGGAGGUGCUGGACUCGCCGUCCCUAGAGGUUUUUAAACUGAGAUUGGACAUGGCACUUAGUGCCAUGAUCUAGUAAACGGACUGGAGUUGGACCAAGGGUUGGACUGGAUGAUCUCUGAGGUCUUUUCCAACCCAGUCCAUUCUGUGAUUCUGUGUGAUUCUGAGAUGGAGAAUAUUGGAUAAUUUUUUUGAGAUGAGUCACUUUUGAGAUUUCUUGUGUUUUCUGCUUCAAUGGGAGCUGAAAGUCACUCAGUACUUUCUCAUGUUUGGAAGGGCUUCCUUCUGCUUUAAGAGCUGCUGUAUCACAUUUUACCUUGCCUAAAAAUCUUCACUGAAUACUGUUUGAAACGUCAGGGCUCGUCCAGCCAAAGGUGCUCGCUGCUGCAGUUGAUCUACAGCACUAAGGUCAGCUAAAAUUUGUGUGACAAAAAGAAAUAAAAGCAGCCCGCAGUGGCCCCAUUGACGUGCUCUGUAGAGAUCGCGGUUGCUGAUUUUUACUCUCGGUGAACACGCUUUGGGCAGCUGUGCCCAUGACCUUGUUUGCUAAUGACUAAUGCAUUUUUAACAUUACUUUCAAUUAGAGUGUAAGUAUUCCGGGGAGUGUGGCUGGGGUGUCUCCUUUCUGUCAUCUUGCCCUCGUUUUGCUUUUUAUGGUUUUUCUCCUCAGUAUCUUUGGAAAAACUUCUUCAAGAACUUGUGUAGAGUUUGACAUUGCAAGAAAUAGUUGAUGUCUCUGCUUUUCACACUAGAUGUAAUAGUGUUUUUCUCAGCCUUUUGUGUUUAAUACAGACUGGUUAAGUUCCCCACUAUACAUUGCAAGAAUAAAAUAAUUUGCUGCCCUCUAUUAAAACAGUAUUAGAAAGACUUUUAGCAAUUUGAUGAAAAGGUUUAGACUGAGCAAUUUUGUGAGUAGCCUGUAUACACUGAUAUGUCCAGAAAGACUUGAAAAAUUCACUCAGAUUUGGCCAGCGACAGAGUUCCCAACAGAUUUGUGCUGCCUGUGUGGUACAUAAAGGAAAGAGACAUUCGGAAUGGCUGGAAUUAAAGUGGCACAAGCUGAAGCGAGGGUCAGUGCUCAGGGUCUUUGUGUUGUCCUCCUGAAUGCCGACGUUUCAGUUCACACCACUAGAAGCAGAACUGGUAAAAGAAGCUCGAAGACGGCAAAACUGCGUCCGCUUGCAGAGCUGUAUCCCAAGUGAAGCUAAUUGCUGAACUUUACCAGGAAAAAGUUCAUUAGUGGCAGCAAAUCCCAUGUCGCAACACAAAGGCUGUAGCGAGGACCACGUUUUCCUUUUCUUUUGGUCAAAUGUUGCUCCGCUUUGGAAAGUUGUGUGCACAAGACUAUAAAUUUUUAAGAUGCUCAAAAGGGUUUUUGUGUUUGUACUGAUAGAGAUGCUCUUUGGCUACUUGCAAGACUUGUGUAGCUGGUGCCUCCUUGGUACGGUUGGGUAGGCAAAUGCUGGGAAAGUGGCACAUUUCCAGGUAAAGAGUGUCUAUGGCAAAGGAGAGAAGGAUGGUGGUGAGAGGAGGCAGGAAAAAUGCAAGAGCAGGUGCCAAUGAGACUGUAGCAGCUUUCUGGAACAGGAAACUCGGGCUGAAUUCGGUACUAAAAGCACAGUUGUGAGAUUCAGAAGUCAAUCAGUGUAGCAAGAAGAGUGGAAUUCUUUUUGUACGCUUGUUUAGAAAGACUGUGCCGUGCGUUGAUCAUCUCUUGCUUCUCGGGCUCUUUCUAUAAUCCCAUUCCAAUCUAAGAACUAUCACUAAACUUGUCCUGUAAAUAAAAGAACAUCUUACUGCACUAGUCCGCUGGGCUCCCUGAAAAUGUUCAACAUUGUCUUCAGAACAAAGCGUCGUAAUUACGUGAGAAUACAGGUGUCAUUCGACCUUCUAAGAACAACUGAGCACUUUGUAGCUCCUCUUAUUAUUCUUUAUCAGUACCUGUUUGUUCAUCAGCUAUGGAGAGAAGGCUGCUGUACCUUCACAUGCUAAUGUAGAAGCAGAGGGAGCUUCAGCUCGGAAGGACAAGCUGUUCUGGCCAUUACAGCCACCCGGUUCUUCCCCGAGCAUCCUGCACAUGCUGGCACAUCACUGGUACAGAACAUUAUAUCUGCUUUUUGGAAAGGAAUUAAAAGCCUUAAGACAUUUCACACGUUUUGCAGCUUUUAUUCUGUUCAAGCAGAAACUCCUAACAGAAAUUAGAUGCCCUAACAAGCGCAUCGAAUCUGUUUCUAUAUAUAUAUACACAUAUAUAAAUACAUAAUUUGAUAUCCUAGUCAUUUUCAGUAAAAUGAUCUGACUGCCACUGGCCUUUCACUCUCUUUCUUCCAUCUUAAGGUUUUUUGGAGCACUUCCAUCUCUGACGGAUUUGAAGGUGUGAGGACAGAAUUUGCAGAUAUGAACACCUAAUGUUAAACUUUAUAUUUAGGCAUUGAGACAAGCUGUUAAUUACCCUCUGGUGUGGAUCUGUAAGACUCUAGGGCACUUGACCAUAAGUUUUAUUGAGGGACCUAAAUCUUUUAAAGUCUUUUAAAGUCUUAAAACCUUUAAAGUUUUUUUAAAGUCUUAUUGUUCUCAUAGCUUGAGACUAUUUCCAGUGACAUUUUAUCUCUCUUCAGAGGCAACGCCUCUCUCACUUCUGAUUAAUACAUCCAGUACAUUAGUGACAGUGUUUAAAUAGACUAAAGAGAACUAUAGCUGGAGGUAAAAUACUGUGCAAGAAAUAAAAUGCCACAUUUAAACAUUUCCAAGCUGUGUCAACUACAUUCAGCAACCUGAGAGAACAGCUAAAUUCCACCCUCUGCCUCCUCUUCUUUUUUUCUUUCUUGUAACUUUGCGUUCAAAAUUAUAGCAGGGAAAUCUGGCUCUGAGGUUUAACAGACCAUAAUAUUGAGGUAAUGAUGAAUCUCAGAGGUUCUGCAGUAAAAGCUGUAGUUAGCAGAGAAAUCAGAAUGACAGAAACACACAAGGAGUCACAGAAUCCCAGAGUGUCAGGGGUUGAAGGGCCCUGGAAAGCUCAUCCAGUGCAAUCCCCCCAUGGAGCAGGAACACCCAGAUGAGGUUACACAGGAAGGUGUCCAGGCGGGUUGGAAUGUCUGCACAGAAGGAGACUCCACAACCCCCUGGGCAGCCUGGGCCAGGCUCUGCCACCCUCAUCAGGAACAAGUUUCUUCUCAUAUUUAAGUGGAACCUUUUGUGUUCCAGUUUGAACCCAUUACCCCUUGUCCUAUCACUGGUUGUCACCAAGAAGAGCCUGGCUCCAUCCUCAUGACCCCAGUACUGCCCCCUGAGGCACUGCACUAGAUCCAGGCCUCAACUGGACUCUGCUCCAUUGACCACGACUCUCUGGCUUCUUCCCUUCAGCCAGUUCGCAGUCCACGCGUUAAGAGUCAGGCCUAUAUAGAAUCUAGCACCUGUCCCUUGGCUGGAACUUCAAAGUUUUCCCUUUUUAAAAGCAAACACCACACUAGUUUGCCACUCUGGUACAUCUGCUUCUUCAGAUGAUGUAGCAGCAAGAUACAGAGCGGGUGACAUUGUCCUUGGGACAGCUGGAGUUCUUACAGAUUAUGUGCUGGCCCUGACUAAAAUAACAUAAGCUAUGUAUUUAUAACGCACUCACACAUGUUAUUUCAUUUACAGAUUUGUUUGGUAUGAAGAAACAACUCUUUGAACAUGCUGUGGGAGCAAUGAGAUAUAUAUAUAACUAUCAUCAAAGGUUUUCUUGCUGCAGCCAAGCACUAAUCUUCUUCGAGAUACCCAUUACGAGAAGCCUGGCUGGUUUUUUUUAAAGAGUAAAUUCAACAGGUUCUACAGAAUUAAAUAAACAAAAUUACUAAUAGGAAUACUAGUCAAGUGGUUAAACCUAAGCUGUUGUUUAGACCAGAAGAAAAAGACAAAAGUAGUUUUGGAACUACAUGGAAAAAAAGUAGUAUAGAAGGUGCCAAGGUGUGGAAGGAGCUUCAGUCUCCCUGUUACCCUGUUCUGGAGUCAGGAUUUGAGGUCAGAAGUAGCUGGGAAGUGCUUCCAUGUCUCCAGAUUUAGAUGCAUCCAGGGUUUAGCAUUCACUUCCUUAAAUCCUCAAAAUCCUGGUCCCAGAUCGUACCUGAGCUCCGGGAGGACUGAAAGUGAAAGAAUUUCAUUUCGAGGAUCCACUCAAGGGGGUUACGUAAAGGCAGAUUUUGUUCCAUUUUUUUCCUGAGUUUUGUACCAAUUGAUAAACCAAGAAUUAACCCUAAAACUUUUCGUCAGCCAUUCAGUCUCUGACUGGAGCUGAAGGAUUCAUCAAUAUUCCGCUGAUCUGUUUCCCUUUCCUCUUCU